rnacentral:rRNA from 1 species
CACCGGCAGCUCUAGUGGUAACAAUUUUUAUUGGGCCCUAAAGCGUCCGUAGCCGGUUUAAUAAGUCUCUGGUGAAAUCCUGUAGCUUAACUGUGGGAAUUGCUGGAGAUACUAUUAGACUUGAGACCGGGAGAGGUUAGAGGUACUCCCAGGGUAGAGGUGAAAUUCUGUAAUCCUGGGAGGACCGCCUGUUGCGAAGGCGUCUAACUGGAACGGUUCUGACGGUGAGGGACGAAAGUUAGGGGCGCGAACCGGAUUAGAUACCCCUGUAGUCCCUGAGCGGGCUGGCAAGG